GGCAGUUCUCGGGUGAUGCACCCCAGAAUCCGGGUCCCUCCUCUCUGGCUCCGGGUAUAUCACCUGAGAACUGCA
rfam:Myotis davidii contig81227, whole genome shotgun sequence.